rnacentral:rRNA from 1 species
CCUACGGGUGGCAGCAGUGGGGAAUAUUGGGCAAUGGGCGAAAGCCUGACCCAGCAACGCCGCGUGAAGGAAGAAGGCUUUCGGGUUGUAAACUUCUUUUGACAGGGAAGAGCAGAAGACGGUACCUGUCGAAUAAGCCACGGCUAACUACGUGCCAGCAGCCGCGGUAAUACGUAGGUGGCAAGCGUUGUCCGGAUUUACUGGGGGUAAAGGGCGUGUAGCCGGGCUGACAAGUCAGGUGGUAAAUCCGGGGGCUCAACCCCCGAACUGCAUUUGAAACUGUGGGUCUUGAGUAUCGGAGAGGCAGGCGGAAUUCGUGGUGUAGCGGUGAAAUGCGUAGAUAUUAGGAAGAACACCAGUGGCGAAGGCAGCCUGCUGGACGACAACUGACGGUGAGGCGCGAAAGCGUGGGGAGCAAACAGGAUUAGAUACCCCGGUAGUC